rnacentral:rRNA from 1 species
AUGUAUAACCUUCCUCCUUGGAUGUGCAUGAAGCGGAAGUCCAUUAUGAUGCCAGUUCUCAUCCAAGGCCCUAACCAACCCGACAACGACAUUGAUGUGUACCUAAGGCCAUUAGUUGAAGAACUUUUACAGCUGUGGAAUGGAAACGGUGUACGUACGUGGGAUGAUCACGAACAGGAGGAAUUUAACCUAAAGGCGUUGCUGUUCGUGACCAUCAAUGAUUGGCCCACUCUCAGUAACCUUUCAGGACAGACAAAGAAAGGAUACCACGCAUGCAUGCACUGUUUAGAUGACACUGAAAGUAUAUACCUGGACAAAUGCAGGAAGAAUGUGUACCUGGGCCAUCAUCGAUUUCUUUCGACCAACCAUCAAUGUCGAAAGAAAGGCAAGCAUUUCAAAGGCGAGACAGAUCAGCGGAAGAAGCCCGCCAUGCGUACCGGUGAUCACGUACUUGCUAUGGUCAAUUAUUUACACGUAAUCUUUGGAAAGGGUCCUGGCGGACUAGCUGUUCCGAAUGACGCCGAGGGAUACGCACCCAUGUGGAAGAAAUCCAUAUUUUGGGACCUACCCUACUGGAAAGACCUAGAGGUCCGCUCUUCAAUCGAUGUCAUGCACGUGACGAAGAACCUUUGCGUGAACCUGCUAGGCUACUUGGACGUGUACGGGAAGACAAAAGAUACACCUAAGGCACGGGAGGACAUGCAACGUUUGCACGAAAAAGACGGCAUGCCUCCAAAGUAG